GGGGAAUAUUGCACAAUGGAGGGAACUCUGAUGCAGCAACGCCGCGUGAGUGAAGAAGGUUUUCGGAUCGUAAAACUCUGUCAUUGGGGAAGAAUAAAUGACGGUACCCAAUGAGGAAGCCCCGGCUAACUACGUGCCAGCAGCCGCGGUAAUACGUAGGGGGCGAGCGUUGUCCGGAAUUACUGGGCGUAAAGGGUACGUAGGCGGCUAUAUAAGUCAGGUGUGAAAUACCAGUGCUUAACACUGGAAUUGCAUUUGAAACUGUGUAGCUUGAGUGCAGGAGAGGAAAGUGGAAUUCCUAGUGUAGCGGUGAAAUGCGUAGAUAUUAGGAGGAACACCGGUGGCGAAGGCGGCUUUCUGGCCGAAGACUGACGCUGAGGCGCGAAAGCGUGGGGAGCAAACA
rnacentral:rRNA from 2 species